GCCCGCUCAGAAACUACAAUGAAUUGACGGGACCCGCACAAGCGGUGGAUCAUGUUGUUUAAUUCGAUGAUACGCGAAGAACCUUACCAGGUCUUGACAUCCCCCGCGAUGCUUAGAGAUAAAGCGGAGGUAUUCGGGGAGACAGGUGGUGCAUGGUUGUCGUCAGCUCGUGUCGUGAGAUGUUGGGUUAAGUCCCGCAACGAGCGCAACCCCUAUUGCUAGUUACCAUCAUUAAGUUGGGGACUCUAGCGAGACUGCCAGUGAUAAACUGGAGGAAGGUGGGGGAUGACGUCAAAUCAUCAUGCCCCUUAUGACCUGGGCUACAAACGUGAUACAAUGGCUGGAACAAAGGGAUGCGAAGCAGUGAUGUGGAGCGAAACCCAUAAAAACAGUCUCAGUUCGGAUUGAAGUCUGCAACUCGACUUCAUGAAGUCGGAAUCGCUAGUAAUCGUGGAUCAGCAUGCCACGGUGAAUACGUUCCCGGGCCUU
rnacentral:rRNA from 1 species